UUGUUCCGAGUUACAGCGCAGGAUGGAUACAGUCACUGGGCAGCGCCUACCUCUGCUUCUGCUAGCAGCAGCGCUGUUGUUGCCGUCGGUGCCUGCGGGGGAAUCCCCUACCCGGCAGCAGUCGCUGCAUCUGGAGCCGCCAGAGGGUAGAUUCGGUGGUGCGUGGGCGUGUCAGCUGGCUUGUCACUGGAACAAGCCGCUGCUGUGCCAGCUCUGCGUAGCGGCGGGCAAGGUCUCCACCACCACCACAUCCACUUCCACCUCCACCACCACCACCACCACCACCAAGACCACCACCAAGGCUCCGACAACCACCGGUGGGCCUGGUGGCGAAUAGACGCCUCCAAAAUGAAUGACACCGGCAUAUUAAGGGCGCUUCCUGCACCAGCUGCAGCUCCUGAUCAUCCGAAGGGACUGCAAUUCCACGGGGUCUCUGCUAAGUCCGGACUGCGCAGCUCCACGGCCUCAACCUCAACAGCACCAAGCGAAAUGUGACGAAGCAGCUCUCCUAGACCUACAAUUAACGUGGCUCGUUUCCGGAGAAACCAGUGUUAAAUAAUCCCUCAGAUAAGAGUCAUAAACAUCCAAUGAAAUGAAGGCUUGCUUCGUUCCGUGUGUCGUUAUUGUAGACACAUUCCAAUGAUUUGUCUCUUUUUAUGGUA